rnacentral:piRNA from 1 species
CUUAAGGAAAAUGACCCGAGGGUGAGA